AGAGUUUGAUCAUGGCUCAGGAUGAACGCUAGCAGCAGGCUUAACACAUGCAAGUCGAGGGGUAAGUCCCGAUUCGUCGGGAACACGACCGGCGCACGGGUGAGUAACGCGUAUGUAACUUUCCUCUAACUGGGGGAUAGCCCGGAGAAAUCCGGAUUAAUACCCCAUAAUAUCAUAGGAUCGCAUGGUCUUAUGAUUAAAGCUCCGGCGGUUAGAGAUAGGCAUGCGUACCAUUAGCUUGUUGGUGAGGUAAUUGCUCACCAAGGCAACGAUGGUUAGGGGGUCUGAGAGGAUGAUCCCCCACACUGGUACUGAGACACGGACCAGACUCCUACGGGAGGCAGCAGUGAGGAAUAUUGGGCAAUGGACGAAAGUCUGACCCAGCCAUGCCGCGUGCAGGAUGACGGCCCUACGGGUUGUAAACUGCUUUUGUACAGGAAGAAACACUUCGACGUGUCGAGGCUUGACUGUACUGUACGAAUAAGCAUCGGCUAACUCCGUGCCAGCAGCCGCGGUAAUACGGAGGAUGCAAGCGUUAUCCGGAUUUAUUGGGUUUAAAGGGUGCGUAGGCGGGAUAGUAAGUCAGUGGUGAAAUCUUCCGGCUUAACCGGGAAACUGCCAUUGAUACUGCUUUCCUUGAGUGCAGUUGAGGUGGGCGGAAUGUGUAAUGUAGCGGUGAAAUGCUUAGAUAUUACACAGAACACCUAUUGCGUAGGCAGCUCACUAAUCUGUAACUGACGCUGAGGCACGAAAGCGUGGGGAGCGAACAGGAUUAGAUACCCUGGUAGUCCACGCCGUAAACUAUGAUCACUCGCUGUUGGCGAUAUACUGUCAGCGGCUGAGCAAAAGCAUUAAGUGAUCCACCUGGGGAGUACGACCGCAAGGUUGAAACUCAAAGGAAUUGACGGGGGCCCGCACAAGCGGUGGAACAUGUGGUUUAAUUCGAUGAUACGCGAGGAACCUUACCUGGGCUUAAAUGCGGAGCGACCUUCGCUGAAAAGUGAAUUUCCUUCGGGACGAUCUGCAAGGUGCUGCAUGGUUGUCGUCAGCUCGUGCCGUGAGGUGUCGGGUUAAGUCCCAUAACGGGCGCAACCCUCAUCGUUAGUUGCCAUCGGAUAUUGCCGGGGACUCUAACGAAACUGCCGGUGUAAACCGUGAGGAAGGUGGGGAUGACGUCAAAUCAGCACGGCCCUUAUGUCCAGGGCUACACACGUGUUACAAUGGCCAGUACAAAGGGCAGCUACCUGGUGACAGGAUGCAAAUCUCUAAAGCUGGUCACAGUUCGGAUUGAAGUCUGCAACUUGACUUCAUGAAGCUGGAAUCGCUAGUAAUCGCGCAUCAGCCACGGCGCGGUGAAUACGUUCCCGGGCCUUGUACACACCGCCCGUCAAGCCAUGGAAGCCGGGGGUACCUGAAGUCUGUAACCUAAAAGAGCGGCCUAAGGUAAACCCAGUGACUGGGGCUAAGUCGUAACAAGGUA
rnacentral:rRNA from 1 species